UCCCAUGAGCCCUUGCGUCACCAGGCACGAAAGCUCCAUGGACCGGCCUCUUCGCCUUAUAACAGCUUUGUACAUGUACACACGUGUGGAGUUUUAACAUAUUGCUUCCUCGUUCUAAGGUCUCAGUUAAGGCGUCUGAAGAUGAGUGAUGAGGUGGAGCGGCUGCUGAUCCGUUUCCAGGAUGAGAACGGGGAGUUUCUGGGCUCCCCUUUCGAUGUUCCUGUCGACAUCACUCCUGAUAAACUGCAGCUGGUCUGCAAUGUGUUGCUGCAGAAGGAGGAGGCGGUGCCGUUGGCGUUUUUUGCCCGUGGUGAUACGGAGAUUGUGUCCAGUCUGAGUGUCUGUGUCAAGGAGCUGGCAUGGGAGACUGAGCAGGUGCUGCCGGUGAUGUACCAGCCCCAGGCCGUGUUCCGGGUGCGAGCUGUCACCCGCUGCACCAGCACGCUGCAGGGGCAUACCGAAGCCGUCAUCUCCACCGCUUUCAGUCCCACCGGAAAAUAUUUGGCCAGCGGGUCGGGUGACACCACGGUGCGCUUUUGGGACUUGAUGACCGAGACACCGCAUCACACUGCCAAAGGGCACUCACAUUGGGUUCUAAGCAUCGCCUGGUCGCCUGAUGGCAAGAAGCUUGCGUCAGGAUGCAAAAACAGUCAGAUCUUUCUGUGGAAUCCAGUGACAGGCACACAAAUCGGGAAGACCUUGACCGGACACACCAAAUGGAUCACUUGGCUUUGCUGGGAACCUCUCCACCUCAACGCCGAGUGUCGCUACUUGGCGAGCAGCUCCAAAGAUGGCUCGGUGCGCAUCUGGGACGUGGUGCUCGGCCGCUGCGACAAGAUCCUGACGGGCCACACGCAGUCGGUCACCUGUGUCAAGUGGGGCGGCGACGGGCUCCUGUACACGUCGUCCCAGGACAGGACCGUGAAAGUGUGGCGGGCCAAAGACGGUGUCCAGUGCAGGACGCUGCAGGGUCAUGCUCACUGGGUCAACACGUUGGCUCUCAGCACCGACUACGUGCUAAGGACAGGCGCCUUUGAACCGGCAAGCGCCACCGUUAACCCACAGGACCUCACCGGAUCACUGGAGGAACUAAAGGACAAAGCCUUGCAGAGAUACAAUAAUGUUCGGGGUUCCAACCCGGAACGCUUGGUAUCAGGCUCGGACGACUUCACCUUGUUCCUGUGGAAUCCGGCUGAGGAGAAGAAGCCUCUGGCCCGGAUGACGGGCCACAGCGCCUUGGUCAACGAGGUGCUUUUCUCCCCUGACACCCGGCUGCUGGCCUCGGCCUCCUUCGACAAGUCAGUCAAAAUCUGGGACGGCCGCACUGGAAAGUACUUGAUGUCCCUCCGUGGCCACGUGGGCUCCGUAUAUCAGGUGGCGUGGUCAGCCGACAGCCGGCUGCUGGUGAGCGGGAGCAGCGACAGCACGCUCAAAGUUUGGGACGUCAAGAGUGGGAAGCUCAAUAUGGAUCUUCCCGGCCAUGCAGAUGAGGUGUUUGCUGUGGACUGGAGUCCUGAUGGACAACGAGUGGCCAGCGGUGGUAAAGACAAAUGCCUCAGAAUAUGGAGAAGAUAGCUAUAAUGGCCACAACCUCCAUUUCCUUCCCACCAAGUGAUCUAAAAGCCAGAGUAAAGAUGCUUCAUAGUUAAUUUGGCGUUGAAAAGCAUCGUCAUGGUGACUCGCUGACACAAACAAGGGGCAGGUGGACCUAGUAAAGAGACGUGUGCGGAUGCCCACCUCAUGCCAGCUCAGCGUGUCCGAGGGCAAUGCCAGGUGGCAGUGGGGGCACGCUCGCUGCGUCUGCUGCUGCUCACCAUCGGAGGGCACCCUGUACCCCCAGCUUGGCCCCUCGCUGCCCCACAGGGGGCGACACGGCGCGUGCGAGGACCAGGCCACGCCGAAGUGGGGGCGAGGGUCCGUCUGGUAGUUCAUCUUCAAUCCUCCAGAGGGCAGUAGAGACGAAUAAUCCGAAACCUGCUGCAACUGCAGAGAAGUAUCGUAGCCAACGGUUUAGUUCCUGAAUAAAAUUGUUUGUUUGUUUGUUUUUACAGAUGUGUGGUAACCUGAGGAGGUGGGGGAUGAUACUCUGGGUCAAGGGACCUGAGACAGUACCAGCACGCUUCUGAGGGGCCAUCUAUAAACAAAUGUCACCAUGGAAACAGAAUCAAAACAGACACAUUUGCUUACUGGUUGGCCUUAGAACAAAGUUGAAUAGUUUUGAUGUUUUUUGUUUUUUUGUCUGGUUUGUGAGGUAGUUGUUCUAGCGUCAAUUACCCAUGGAGUGAGUGCCCCUGCAGUAAGUAGUGUGCACUGCAGUGCAAAGGGAGAAACCCAACUAAAUGUGCAUAUACAUCUGGUUUUGGAAUUUAAGAAUCUUGAAUUAUACUAAUCGGAAUUUGUUUGUGUAUAUAUAAAUAAUAAAACCUAAAUGAAAACAAUCCACGUUAAGUAGGAUGCACAGCAUAGUAUGUAAGGUUGAUCCCAUGUAAAUGUUUAAAAUAUUUUAAAUUUAUUAUUGUUAUUUUUCCAAGUCACAUGUUCCACCGGAAGUUGCAUCUUUCAGUUCCUCUGCAGGCCAUGGGAAAGCCAAAAGCCCCGCUCUCAACUUGUUCUCCUCCACCAUCUUCUGGUUCUGAGAACUUUUCGAACCCGCCGCCCUCUUCCUCCCCUCUGGUCGUCUCAGCCAGGUUGGAGGUGGUCCUGCUCAGAUGGCGCCACGUUCCCCCAUUCAAAGCAUGCAGCACAAUUUCACACUUGAUUAUUAAACC